UGAAAGCCUAAAAGAAGGUGUCACCAGGAGU
rnacentral:piRNA from 1 species